rnacentral:rRNA from 1 species
ACUCCUACGGGAGGCAGCAGUGGGGAAUUUUGCCCAAUGGGGGAAACCCUGAUGCAGCAAUGCUGCGUGGGGGAUGAAGUCCCUUGGGUUGUAAACUUCCUCGCAUCGGGACGAUAAUGACAGUACC